AGAGUUUGAUCAUGGCUCAGAACGAACGCUGGCGGCGUGCCUAACACAUGCAAGUCGAACGGAGUUAAUGGAGUAGCAAUACGAAAUUAACUUAGUGGCGCACGGGUGAGUAACACGUGGAUAACCUUCCUUCAGGUGGGGAAUAGCCCAGUGAAAAUUGGGCUAAUACCGCAUAACAUGACGAUGGCACAUGCCGUUGUCUUCAAAGCCGCAAGGCGCCAGAUGAGGGAUCCGCGGCCGAUUAGCUUGUUGGCGAGGUAAUGGCUCACCAAGGCAAUGAUCGGUAGCCGGACUGAGAGGUUGGCCGGCCACACUGGAACUGAGACACGGUCCAGACUCCUACGGGAGGCAGCAGUGGGGAAUCUUGCGCAAUGGGCGAAAGCCUGAUGCAGCGACGCCGCGUGGGGGAUGAAGGCCUUCGGGUUGUAAACUCCUUUUGCAGGGGAAGAUAAUGACGGUACCCUGCGAAUAAGCCACGGCUAACUCUGUGCCAGCAGCCGCGGUAAGACAGAGGUGGCGAGCGUUGUUCGGAAUUACUGGGCUUAAAGGGCGCGUAGGCGGUGAUAUAAGUCUGGGGUGGAAGCCCAUAGCUUAACUAUGGGACUGCCCUGGAAACUGUAUUGCUUGAGUCGGACAGGGGAAGGCGGAAUUCCAGGUGUAGCGGUGAAAUGCGUAGAUAUCUGGAGGAAGGCCUGUGGUGAAGACGGCCUUCUGGGUCUUGACUGACGCUGAGGCGCGAAAGCGUGGGUAGCAAACAGGAUUAGAUACCCUGGUAGUCCACGCCCUAAACGGU
rnacentral:rRNA from 1 species